AUGGCCUGGACCCCUCUCCUCCUUGUUUUCCUGGCUCACUGCACAGACUCCAUGGCCUCAUAUGUGCUGACCCAACCACCCUCAAUAUCGGUGAACCUGGGACAGACGGCCAAGAUCACACAUGGGGGAAACAACACUGGAAGUAAAAGUGUUUACUGGUACCAGCAGAAGCUGGGCCAGUCCCCCGUAUUGAUUAUCUAUAGGAAUAGCAACCGACCCUCAGGGAUCCCUGAAUGGUUCUCAGGCACCAACUCAGGGAACACGGCCACCCUGAUCAUCAGCGGGGCCCGUGCUGAGGACGAGGAUGACUAUUACUGUAAGGUGUGGGACAACAGUGGUAAUGCUCACAGUGACAGACAGGGAAGUGCUGCAUGCACAACUGGCAGCAGAGAGAACCAGGCCAUGAGUUCUGUGUACUCCAAUGCCACGCCAAAGGACCACCUGCAUGACCUCCACCACCCCCAGAGACAUCAGGAGGAUGGGAAUGCCUCAGGAGGGCCCUGCCUCUUCAGUCUCUAA